CAGCCAUAAACUAUGCUCGCUAGGUGUCAGGCAUGGCGCGACCGUGUCUGGUGCCGCAGGGAAGCCGUGAAGCGAGCCACCUGGGAAGUACGGCCGCAAGGCUGAAACUUAAAGGAAUUGGCGGGGGAGGCACAACAACGGGUGGAGCCUGCGGUUUAAUUGGAUUCAACACCGUAAACUCACCAGGGAAGACUGUUACAUGAAGGCCGAGAUGAAGACUCUGCUAGAUUUUCAGAGAGGUGGUGCAUGGCGUAGACGUCU
rnacentral:rRNA from 1 species